UUCAGUAUGUCUGCUGUGGCUGUGUCUCAUUUCAUCAGAAUCAUAAUGACAGCUCCAAUACUCAUCACAUUUGCAGUCUCAUCUCUGUGGCUUCAAGUUCGCUGCCAGGAUUUGACCCAACACCCUGCAAUCAGCUGGAAUUAUGAGUCCAAAUCUGCAGAGAUGAACUGCAGCCACAACAAAGGCAUUACUUAUAACCAGAUGUACUGGUACAGACAGCGUCCAGGAGAGACCAUGACCUUCAUUGUCUACACAGUUUUUAUGGGGCAGCCAGACUAUGGGGGGCUCUCUCAAACCAAAUAUUCAGCUAACAAAGAUACAAUAGAGACGGGGGCUCUUACUGUGAAAAACCUGCAGCCUGAGGACAGUGGAGUGUAUUUCUGUGCUGCUGGUAAACACAGUGACGUGAGACGUAUGAGCAGCUGA